rnacentral:rRNA from 1 species
UGGGGAAUAUUGCACAAUGGGGGAGCCCUGAUGCAGCGACGCCGCGUGAGCGAAGAAGUAUUUCGGUAUGUAAAGCUCUAUCAGCAGGGAAGAAAAUGACGGUACCUGACUAAGAAGCCCCGGCUAACUACGUGCCAGCAGCCGCGGUAAUACGUAGGGGCGAAGCGUUAUCCGGAUUUACUGGGUGUAAAGGGAGCGUAGACGGCGAUACAAGUCUGAAGUGAAAGCCCGGCGUAUCACUGGGAACUGCUUUGGAAACUGUACUGCUAGAGUGCUGGAGAGGUAAGCGGAAUUCCUAGUGUAGCGGUGAAAUGCGUAGAUAUUAGGAGGAACACCAGUGGCGAAGGCGGCUUACUGGACAGUAACUGACGUUGAGGCUCGAAAGCGUGGGGAGCAACAGGAUUAGAUACC